rnacentral:rRNA from 1 species
CCUACGGGGCGCAGCAGUGGGGAAUAUUGCACAAUGGGCGCAAGCCUGAUGCAGCCAUGCCGCGUGUAUGAAGAAGGCCUUCGGGUUGUAAAGUACUUUCAGCGGGGAGGAAGGCGAUAAGGUUAAUAACCUUGUCGAUUGACGUUACCCGCAGAAGAAGCACCGGCUAACUCCGUGCCAGCAGCCGCGGUAAUACGGAGGGUGCAAGCGUUAAUCGGAAUUACUGGGCGUAAAGCUCACGCAGGCGGUCUGUCAAGUCGGAUGUGAAAUCCCCGGGCUCAACCUGGGAACUGCAUUCGAAACUGGCAGGCUGGAGUCUUGUAGAGGGGGGUAGAAUUCCAGGUGUAGCGGUGAAAUGCGUAGAGAUCUGGAGGAAUACCGGUGGCGAAGGCGGCCCCCUGGACAAAGACUGACGCUCAGGCGCGAAAGCGUAGGGAGCAAACAGGAUUAGAUACCCCUGUAGUC